UGUCCUAGUAGGACACUUGUAUCCUAGGCCUCUCUUAUAUAGCGGGGGUAGACACACGAUGUAACCUAUGCCAACAUAAUAGCACCGGAACGCAGGGGAAGCCGGCGGCAUGUGCCGGUGUCCAGGGCGACCGGGUGCGGUAUUGUGAUGGUGUCACGGGGAGGAGCGCCCGUAGUCAAGCCCCGGGGAUGUAGCCAUAUCGGUGAACCUCGUUAACAAAUCUCAGUGUCGUGCUCGUGUGAUUACUUGGUCCUCGGAUGAUCGACGGUAUGCCUCGGAUUUAUUCUAACAAGUGGUAUCAUGAGCUAGGUUGCUUCGGAGGCCGUUAAUUGUUGAUUCAGAGGAAGGUGUUCUUGGCGUCUCGAAGCCGACGAAAUUGAUCGAAUCGAUCCUAGCGGCGGUGGCGUAAGAUACACGGUCCAGCGUGGAAUACGUGAGGCGGGCGGCUCGGUUGGGGUGCGUGGCCGAGCACACAGGUGCGGCGGAGCUGGCUCGAUGAUGUUGUUCCACGCCACGCAGCCAUGAGCGUGCCGGAGAUUUGUUUGAAGACAAAAAAAAGUGGAGACCGAGUCUCCAUAGUACUGACACGGACAGGCAGGCAAAUCAGUUAGGAUAAGGAAAACAUCCAUCAAGCGAUAUGUAUCUAUCAGGAGCACUACUUGCGUAGGCAUCGGCAAGGCAAAAACAAUUAGCUUAGCAUUGGAAGUUGUGCCUGGGAGCUAAUACACGUGAGUACAGGAAGGAUUUUUGGUAGGAAUUUGCUGCUCGUGCAUGUCGUGUACUUGAGCACGUGUUGGAAGCUCGGAUAUUUUUUCGUGGGGUCAGCCAUACGAAGGACCAUGGCGUCAACGGAUACCGGGUUUGAGGUGGAGAAGUUUAUGGAACUGAAAACCUUGGGUUAUGACAGACAAGGAUGAAAAAUUUGUUGGCACAACAGAGAUGCUUGAAGGCGUUGCGGGAAGUCAUGUCAGCUAAGAUGGAAUUAUCAUGUGAUGGAUGGAAAUUUCAUGAAAGACAAUUUGGGAGCCUUGAGCUUGUCAUACAGUCGAACGAGUUCGGCUGGGUCGCACUGGACUGUCUGGCGGAUCGACGCAAGUCGGUUGGUACAGAAGACGGUGGUGGAUCGGCGACGACAACAUAGGAGCGUGAUACCGAUGGUGACCGACUUCUGGGCGUGGAAACACGUGGCGCAGGCCCCGAGGGCUUGUGUGGCUUCAACAAGACUAUGGCGCGGGGUUGAUUCAAGACGGUGCACAUGAGAUCUUGGAGUCGGCGAGGCGCGGGGUGGCAAGUACUACCACCAUGGAGUCAUGUUGAAGGUGGAGCUGGAGUCUACAGGACUUCACUCGGUGCUGAUUGAGGGGCUACAGCGUAAGUCGGCAGAGAGUCGAAGCCUAUUCAGCGGGAAAAGCGAGUGACACGUAAUUCGGACUGGAGCCCAGUGGUCUGAUGGAAGCGUGAAACUCGUCAUCGGUCGGUGAUGAUCGAUGGUACUCCGCAGUGGGGGUUGAGUGGUGUGGUUUCGCGGCCCUUGAGACUCGACCGGGACAGCGGAGGCUCGACGCAGUAAUAGCGGCGAGGCGUGUGGUACGCACGGGGCAUGGAGACGGACCAGGGCUCUGGUGGUCAUACAUGUGGUGAGACAACUGCGACUUUGACUCGGGAUGACUGCAAGCAAUGGUGAAAUUCCUUCAAGUUUCAGACAGGCGGUCAAUAAAGGAGCGGUGAUGUUGAGUUCAGAUAACUCUUAUGUGUGACACCCAAUAUGUGAGUUGUUCACUUUCACGCAGGUCAGUGAUCGGUGUGUGAUGGCGUUGACGGAUACUCUGGAAGUUGGGAGCACGAACUAGAGUAACAAGGAACUUAAUUUUGCUCGAGUGUUGACUGUGGUCAAGAAAAGAAGGGACUACAAGUUGCAGGUGGAGUCGUAUGGAGUCUUUGGAGUAGCAGCGGUACUCAUGGGAUAAACUCAAGUUCAAUGUACAUGGAAGUUUGACACAUGGACAAACUCAAGGUGAUGGAGAAUAUUCGCCAAGGUGGAGUUUGUUGGAGUUGUGUCGAAUAUUGUGUACAAGGUAGGUUACAGUUGGACUUGUAAUUGUAUCGUGUUUACAUAGGAUGUGUCGUGUCCUAGUAGGACACUUGUAUCCUAGGCCUCUCUUAUAUAGCGGGGGUAGACACACGAUGUAACCUAUGCCAACAUAAUAGCACCGGAACGCAGGGGAAACUGGCGGCAUGUGCCGGUGUCCAGGGCGACCGGGUGCGGUAUUGUGACGGUGUCACGGGGAGGAGCGCCCGUAGUCAAGCCCCGGGGAUGUAGCCAUAUCGGUGAACCUCGUUAACAAAUCUCGGUGUCGUGCUCGUG
rnacentral:lncRNA from 1 species